rnacentral:tRNA from 1 species
AGGGUUAUAGCUCAGUGGUAGAGUGCCUGCCUCGCAUGCAGGGGUGCUGGGUUCGAUCCUCAGCAACACAU